rnacentral:rRNA from 1 species
GACGAACUCUGGCGGCGUGCUUAACACAUGCAAGUCGAACGGUAAGGCUCCAGCUUGCUGGGGUACACGAGUGGCGAACGGGUGAGUAACACGUGGGUGACCUGCCCUGCACUUCGGGAUAAGCCUGGGAAACUGGGUCUAAUACCGGAUAGGACCGCACCGUGAGGGUGUGGUGGAAAGUUUUUUCGGUGUGGGAUGGGCCCGCGGCCUAUCAGCUUGUUGGUGGGGUAAUGGCCUACCAAGGCGGCGACGGGUAGCCGGCCUGAGAGGGUGGACGGCCACAUUGGGACUGAGGCACGGCCCAGACUCCUACGGGAGGCAGCAGUGGGGAAUAUUGCACAAUGGGCGGAAGCCUGAUGCAGCGACGCCGCGUGGGGGAUGACGGCCUUCGGGUUGUAAACUCCUUUCACCAUCGACGAAGGGUUUCUGACGGUAGAUGGAGAAGAAGCACCGGCUAACUACGUGCCAGCAGCCGCGGUAAUACGUAGGGUGCGAGCGUUGUCCGGAAUUACUGGGCGUAAAGAGCUCGUAGGUGGUUUGUCGCGUCGUCUGUGAAAUUCCGGGGCUUAACUCCGGGCGUGCAGGCGAUACGGGCAUAACUUGAGUACUGUAGGGGAGACUGGAAUUCCUGGUGUAGCGGUGAAAUGCGCAGAUAUCAGGAGGAACACCGGUGGCGAAGGCGGGUCUCUGGGCAGUAACUGACGCUGAGGAGCGAAAGCAUGGGGAGCGAACAGGAUUAGAUACCCUGGUAGUCCAUGCCGUAAACGGUGGGCGCUAGGUGUGGGUUUCCUUCCACGGGAUCCGUGCCGUAGCUAACGCAUUAAGCGCCCCGCCUGGGGAGUACGGCCGCAAGGCUAAAACUCAAAGGAAUUGACGGGGGCCCGCACAAGCGGCGGAGCAUGUGGAUUAAUUCGAUGCAACGCGAAGAACCUUACCUGGGCUUGACAUAUACAGGAUCGCGCCAGAGAUGGUGUUUCCCUUGUGGCUUGUAUACAGGUGGUGCAUGGUUGUCGUCAGCUCGUGUCGUGAGAUGUUGGGUUAAGUCCCGCAACGAGCGCAACCCUUGUCUUAUGUUGCCAGCACGUUGUGGUGGGGACUCGUAAGAAACUGCCGGGGUUAACUCGGAGGAAGGUGGGGAUGACGUCAAAUCAUCAUGCCCCUUAUGUCCAGGGCUUCACACAUGCUACAAUGGUCAGUACAGUGGGUUGCCAGUCCGUGAGGGCGAGCUAAUCCCGCAAAGCCGGUCUCAGUUCGGAUCGGGGUCUGCAACUCGACCCUGUGAAGUCGGAGUCGCUAGUAAUCGCAGAUCAGCAACGCUGCGGUGAAUACGUUCCCGGGCCU